rnacentral:rRNA from 1 species
AGCGAACGCUGGCGGCAGGCUUAACACAUGCAAGUCGAACGCCCCGCAAGGGGAGUGGCAGACGGGUGAGUAACGCGUGGGAACAUACCCUUUUCUACGGAAUAGCUCUGGGAAACUGGAAUUAAUACCGUAUACGCCCUACGGGGGAAAGAUUUAUCGGGGAAGGAUUGGCCCGCGUUGGAUUAGCUAGUUGGUGGGGUAAAGGCCUACCAAGGCGACGAUCCAUAGCUGGUCUGAGAGGAUGAUCAGCCACAUUGGGACUGAGACACGGCCCAAACUCCUGCGGGAGGCAGCAGUGGGGAAUAUUGGAAAAUGGGCGAAAGCCUGAUCCAGCCAUGCCGCGUGGGUGAUGAAGCCCUUAGGGUUGUAAAGCUCUUUCACCGAUGAGGAUAAUGACGGUAGUUGGAGAAGAAGCCCCGGCUAACUUCGUGCCAGCAGCCGCCGUAA